CUCCAGUUAGCCGGGAGCCAGCCAAAUGGCGACGCGCGCCUCCACUCCGUUCGUCCAGGCGUCGCCGGCUGAGCGAGCGUGCGUGCGUGCGUUGAGGGCGAUGAGCUCGAUCUGCUUCUAAAGCGUCGCGGGGGGUCGCUGUUGGUUGGUUCACCGCCGGCUCGUACGCGGGUGGCUGGGGAGGCGCCGGGAGGAAGUGGAGAGAGGCGCAUUGCCAUGGCCACCGUGUGUUAGUCGGCCGUGCCCGCCAGUAACGCCGUCCGCGCUGGCCAGAACCACUGCGUUGGGCGCCAGCCGCGGACGCGCGCGCGCGCUCCAGUAGGAAACAGAGCACCGCCGCGCGCGUGUUGCCCACAGUCACUGCUAAUUAAGCUCGCUGACGCUGCUCUCGUCCCGUUACGAAUUCGUUCUUUGCUUCCCUUUUUCGAGGCUCGUUUCACUUGUCCGACAGUCUCCGUCUUCACCACAUGCAUGGCUGCCCCUGUACGCCAACUUGCCAAGAUUCGUGCGGCGUCUCCCUUUGCCUGUACUACUACAUUCAAUACUACCUGUCCAGUCAGUCCAAUUAGCUGCUUGCUUGACCCGGGGCACAGCCCAAGGGGCAACCCGCCGCCUUCGGUAGUUUGCCUUUUUGGUGAAAGGCCUGUCGGUGGAAGGACAUGCCAGAUCUGGAAGGGACGUAGCACAGUGAUCCCGGAGCAUAUGACGCAUAUGUCCCCGGCAGGCAGCAUGACUCGACGCUCUGCCGGUCUGCCCGGUCGAAACGUAUGCCUCUACCAGCGCCUGACGUUUCGACCGUGGAGACCCGCCACGCGACCAGGCGCGCGUGGCCCCAAGCUGCUUGUUUAUUACGACGCGGCUUCCUUCCUUGGCCUGAGCUGCUAUCUAUCUAUGCCUCCUUCCCCCAUCUCUCUCUCCGUUUCCAUUUGCUGCUGCUUCUUCUGGAGUUUCUCCUCUCCUGCCCUUCAGUCUCUGGCUCUCUGCAAGACGCGGCAAAGGUGGGUCAACGCGUGUGCUCGAGUUCUUUGAUGCUUUGGUUGAUGUUGUUGCUCAUCUCAUGGAUAAGUGCUGUUGUUGAUUUUUCAUGAUAUGCACGAGCGGGGGUUUGAUUUCCGUCACCGCGGCCUGAGACGAGGGUAGAGCGGACGUGUGCUUCCGUUCCGUGCAAGGCGGGAUCAACCUGACAACAUGAGCGAGGGCAUCCUUGCCCAAGGCCAAGAUGAAGGAAGGAAGGAAGGAAGGAGGACGGCGCGGCGAGGCAAUCGGUGCAGUGACCGCACCGUGGUCGAGCUCACGGAUGGGCGUGCCGCCAUUGCCGGCGCCGGCACCGUGUCAGGCAGCCUGCAAUACAAACCGGCUUACUAAUGCUACGGAAUAAGCUAGACAAUUCUCAGAAAAAUGGAAAAAGAACCCGCUUGUCACUGGCUUACGGUAAACUUCAAGAGUAUCCUGAUUCCAGUAUAGCCAGAAGAUAUUUUGGCAUCUGCUAUUUUGGCAUCACAGGAAUGUUCAUACUUAAUUUAGGCCUACCAAACAAAGCUUGUUCACAAGGUUUUCAUUAUCUUUGGCACGAGGUCAGAUUUCUUUAUGCA